rnacentral:rRNA from 1 species
UCUCGUUAGCAUUAUACCGUGAAACUGCGAAUGGCUCAUUAAAUCAGUUAUCGUUUAUUUGAUAAUACCUUACUACUUGGAUAACCGUGGUAAUUCUAGAGCUAAUACAUGCUGAAAAUCCCGACUUCGGAAGGGAUGUGUUUAUUAGAUAAAAAACCAAUGCCCUUCGGGGCUUUUUGGUGAUUCAUGAUAACUUUACGGAUCGCAUAGCCUUGCGCUGGCGACGGUUCAUUCAAAUUUCUGCCCUAUCAACUUUCGAUGGUAAGGUAUUGGCUUACCAUGGUUUCAACGGGUAACGGGGAAUUAGGGUUCGAUUCCGGAGAGGGAGCCUGAGAAACGGCUACCACAUCCAAGGAAGGCAGCAGGCGCGCAAAUUACCCAAUCCCGACACGGGGAGGUAGUGACAAUAAAUACUGAUACAGGGCUCUUUUGGGUCUUGUAAUUGGAAUGAGUACAAUUUAAACCUCUUAACGAGGAACAAUUGGAGGGCAAGUCUGGUGCCAGCAGCCGCGGUAAUUCCAGCUCCAAUAGCGUAUAUUAAAGUUGUUGCAGUUAAAAAGCUCGUAGUUGAAACUUGGGCCUGGCUGGCGGGUCCGCCUCACCGCGUGCACUCGUCCGGCCGGGCCUUCCUUCUGAAGAACCUCAUGCCCUUCACUGGGCGUGCUGGGGAAUCAGGACUUUUACUUUGAAAAAAUUAGAGUGUUCAAAGCAGGCCUUUG